AUGACGGAGAAAAUUGGCCUGGGUGGCGGCGUAGUUGGUGGCGUGGAGCCUGUCAUGGAUCUGGAAGUAGUGGAGCUCAUCCAGCAGGUCCUCCGCCUGGUCGGCGUUCCUGCUCAGCGCCGGCAGCAGCUCCUGCAGUCCAGGGUUGUCGACGACGUGGCUCACCUGGGCCUGGGCGUUGUGCAGCAGGCCUCGCGUGUGCGCGAGCUUGGCCUUGAUCUGCUCCGAGUUGUGGCCGAGCUCGAGGCUGUCCACGUACGCCGCCACCGGGGCGGCGGACAGCAUCGUGAAAACCUUGCCGAGGAGCGUGGCCGCCGCGCCGAGAGCCGCCGCCAUCUGCACUCCGCCGGCCGCCUCGCCUCAGCUCAGAGCUCGGUCAACGCCCCCGGGGUCGGGGAGCGGUGUCGUGUGGGGAGCAAGGACAGGGUACUCUUCCCCAACUGCCCACGCCACCGCACAGCCGUAGGUCUGCACUCCGCCGGCCGCCGUACGUCGAGUCGCCGGGGCAAUAAUUGGUGUUUUGACGCCGGUGGAAGCUGUAGCUCUAGCGGUGUGGGGAUUGCUUGCUUCGUAUGGUUUGAGUUGUUUGACCAACCUAUGGAUACAAAUUAUUGGGACCCAAGCCGGUAA
rnacentral:rRNA from 1 species